rnacentral:rRNA from 1 species
CCUACGGGGAGCUGCAGUGAGGAAUAUUGGUCAAUGGGCGCAAGCCUGAACCAGCCAAGUCGCGUGAGGGAUGACGGUCCUAUGGAUUGUAAACCUCUUUUGUCGGGGAGCAAGGCCCGCCACGUGUGGCGGGAAGGAGAGUACCCGAAGAAAAAGCAUCGGCUAACUCCGUGCCAGCAGCCGCGGUAAUACGGAGGAUGCGAGCGUUAUCCGGAUUUAUUGGGUUUAAAGGGUGCGUAGGCGGAAGGUUAAGUCAGCGGUAAAAUGUCGGUGCUCAACACCGGCCUGCCGUUGAAACUGGUCUUCUUGAGUGAGCGAGAAGUAUGCGGAAUGCGUGGUGUAGCGGUGAAAUGCAUAGAUAUCACGCAGAACUCCGAUUGCGAAGGCAGCAUACCGGCGCUCAACUGACGCUGAGGCACGAAAGCGUGGGGAUCGAACAGGAUUAGAUACCCUUGUAGUC